rnacentral:other from 1 species
AUGCCCCUACGGUGUUCGUCAGGAUUGCAAAUGCUUUGAACCAAUAAUUUUGGCUCGGUUGCGGUAAAUCACAGUGCCGUUGUGCGUAUUACCCGUUUAAUGCGCCUGAAGCACUGUCACUGCGACCACUUGAACUCAGGUUCAAGCCAUGAUCCAACGGCAUCUGCGGGGGCUCC